AACGAACGCUGGUGGCAUGCCUAACACAUGCAAGUCGAACGAGAUCUUCGGGUCUAGUGGCGCACGGGUUCGUAACGCGUGGGAAUCUGCCCUUUGGUUCGGAAUAACAGUUGGAAACGACUGCUACUACCGGAUGAUGACGAAAGUCCAAAGAUUUAUCGCUAGAGGAUGAGCCCGCGUAUGAUUAGCUAGUUGGUGUGGUAAAGGCGCACCAAGGCGACGAUCCUUAGCUGGUCUGAGAGGAUGAUCAGCAACACUGUGACUGAGACACGGCCCAGACUCCUACGGGCGGCAGCAGUGGUGAAUAUUGGACAAUGGGCGAAAUCCUGAUCCAGCAAUGCCGCGUGAGUGAUGAAGGCCUUAGGGUUGUAAAGCUCUUUUACCCGGGAUGAUAAUGACAGUACCGGGAGAAUAAGCUCCGGCUAACUCCGUGCCAGCAGCCGCCGUAACAC
rnacentral:rRNA from 1 species